ensembl:lncRNA
AAAUAAGUAAAACUAGUUGCCGUCUAAAAUGGCUAGCGAAUUUACAGAGAUUAACAGUAAUAUAGUAAGAAAUAAAAAUAAUAACCAAAUAGAAAAUUUGAAUAAGGUUGUAAAUAAAAAAAAAAACACAAUCCUAUACUCAAAUCCAAUUAAGUUUAGUAAUGAACAGAAUGGACAAUUUUUACCAAAGGAACAUAGUAAAGUAUAUACUAGAAACGUAUUAAAUAGUAGCUUUAAUAGAAAUAUAAAAAAUAAAAACAUGGCUUAUAAUGAUAAGGAUGUGUUAAUACAUGGUACUAAGUAUGUAGAUGAUAACUGUAGUGGUGUUGGUGUUGGUGGUGGUAGUGGUGUUGGUGGUGGUAGUGGUGUUGGUGUUGGUGGUGGUAGUGGUGUUGGUGGUGGUAGUGGUGUUGGUGGUGGUAGUGGUGUUGGUGGUGGUAGUGGUGUUGGUGUUGAUAGUGGUGUUGGUAGUGGUGAUGGUAGUGGUGGUAGUGAUAAAUAUCCAUUUCCAACCGAUCUUGACGUUUCUAAACAGGAAAGUACGUUAAAAGAUAUCCCGAAAUUAAUUAAAGAAGUAGUCAUUAAAAAGGAGUUGUGCAAUUUAACGAAUGCUUUGUAUAAUGGUAAAACUACCAACUUGGAUGAAGAUAAAACAGAUGUAGGUACAGAAAAAGAUAUACAUAUGAAGGUUGUAAAAAAAAGAGAAAAUUGUAUGAAUUCGAAUAUUCCGAGUGGUGAGAUAGAUGUUAUUGUGGACGAAUCUAGUAAUAGUUUAAAAACAAAAAAAAAAGAAAAACAAAAUAUGAACAUGAACAUGAACAUGAACAUGAACAUAUCAGAAAUAAUUUAUGAUACUAAACGCAUUUUAAAAAACAGUGAUAGUAAUAUAUUACAUAAUCCGAAUGAAAUAGGUAGUAGUCUAAAUUGUAAUUCGUGGGAAAGUUGUGAUGGGUAUUUAAACAACCUUAAUGAUAACAGUGGUAUUAAUAGUAAUAUCAAUUUGCUUAUGCAAAAUCGAAAUGGUGUAAAUUUAAUUAAAGAAAAGUUUUUACUUCCAAAUGGUUAUAACAAUAGCAGUAGUAAUAUAAACCGAAAAGGAGAAAUUGACCUGAAUGAUGAUAUGUGUCAUAGUAAAUUUACUUUACUUUCUUUCAUUAGAGAAGGAUUAACAAACACAGUACACCGUUUUAACAAUUAUGAUAAAAUAAAAAAUAAGAAUGAAAAAAAAUUAAUACAAAUAGCACAAAACAUAAACAUGCUUAUUAGGUCAUAUAGUAAUUUAAUAAUUCAAAUAGAAGAUAAAUUAGAGUUAACUAAAAACAAAAUAAAGUGCUUAUACAUGUCUUAUAAAUUGACUGACAAAUGUUUAAACCAAAAUAAGAUAACUGAAAUAGAAGAAAAUAAUAAAAACGAAUCGAAAGCAGAAUGUGUUAAUGAUGAAAAAAAUACUUGUAGUACCAAUAGCACAAACAAUAAUUUAAUAGAGGAUGUGGAUAUCGCAAAGGAAAUAAAACUAAACGAUUUGGGCAAACGUGGUAAUACAUAUUGUACUAGCUAUGAAAAUUACAAUAAAAAAAACGUUAGUUUUAUUAACGAUGCAGGUGAAAAUGUAGAAAGUUUGACUAAAAGUAAAAUAAAUGCUUUUUACUCAGAUAGUAAUGAUGUAUGUAGUAACACAAGUGGUGGUAAUAACUUAAGUGGUGGUAAUAACAUAAGUGGUG